rnacentral:rRNA from 1 species
CCCUUAGAUGUUCUGGGCCGCACGCGCGCUACACUGAUGCAUUCAACGAGUCUAAAACCUGGUCUGAUAGGGUUGGGUAAUCUUUUGAAAGUGCAUCGUGAUUGGGAUAGAUGAUUGCAAUUCUUCAUCUUCAACGAGGAAUGCCUAGUAAACGCAAGUCAUCAGCUUGCAUUGAUUACGUCCCUGCCCUUUGUACACACCGCCCGUCGCUCCUACCGAUUGAAUGAUCCGAUGAAUACCAUGGAUUGAGAGUACGAAUGGGUUCGCUCAUUUCUGCUGCUCGAGAAGUGGAGUAAAUCUUAUCAUUUAGAGGAAGGAGAAGUCGUAACA